rnacentral:rRNA from 1 species
GACGAACGCUGGCGGCGUGCUUAACACAUGCAAGUCGAACGGAAAGGCCCUGCUUGCAGGGUACUCGAGUGGCGAACGGGCGAGUAACACGUGGGUGCUCUGCCCUGCACUUCGGGGUAAGCCUGGGAAACUGGGUCUAAUACCGGAUAGGAGCCAUUUUUUGUGUGAUGGUUGGAAAGUUUUUUGGGUGUUGGAUGAGCUCGCGGCCUAUCAGCUUGUUGGUGGGGUAAUGGCCUACCAAGGCGGCGACGGGUAGCCGGCCUGAGAGGGUGGACGGCCACAUUGGGACUGAGAUACGGCCCAGACUCCUACGGGAGGCAGCAGUGGGGAAUAUUGCACAAUGGGCGCAAGCCUGAUGAAGCGACGCCGCGUGGGGGAUGACGGCCUUCGGGUUGUAAACUCCUUUCGCUAGGGACGAAGCUUUUUGUGACGGUACCUAGAUAAGAAGCACCGGCUAACUACGUG